UUUUUUUCAAAGAACUAAGCAAAAGGCACUCAUAAAGCACUUCGAUCACAUAAACUCCAACUCCAUCUAAGGAAUCCAAUAUAUUCAUGGUGAUAGCCGACCUCUUAAUCUCAAGUUCACGCGCCCCACGCACAGUAAGCCAAAGCCUGAGACAUCAGGGCUUGAAGGCGGAGAAAGAUUUGUUCCCAUUGGCCCAAACGGGUAGUUGGGAGCCUGGGUUCCCUCAAAGCCGCCUCCGGGAGACCAGAAGGCAGCGGGGUUUUAUGGAGCUAGGGGCUUGGCGGGAGGAGCUUCCGGCAAACACAGGGGUCACUUCCCAUAAGCCCCUGGGAAAGCUGACUCCCGGGGCAAGGCUGCUGAGGGCCGGCCAGCGGGAUGAACCUCCCUGAGGGCGUUCUCUUUCUUCCGCAAAAGGAGCUCACAAAUCCUCAAGACACCGAGUCACCCCUCAAGUUAACAGGAAAAAACAGCAAAUUGCUUUACUAUCUGCAGUACCCCUCAGGCACCCGGCUUCAAUGGCACAACCUGAAGAUUCCGAGCUAAACUGAUUUUCCUCAAGUUAAGAAUGCAUCAGGGGCCGCCCGGGCCGAGUGGUUGAGUUCCAGCGCUCCAAUGCAGUGGCCAAGGGCGUCACGGGUUCGGAUCCUGGGCGCCGACAUGACGCUGAUCGUCAGGCCACGGUGAGGCGGCGUCCCACAUGCCUCAACUAGAAGGACCUGCAACUAAGAUAGACAACUAUGUACUGGGGGGAUUUGGGGAGAAAAAGGAAAAGAAAAAAAAGAAUGCAUCAAACCAAGUUUGAAUUUUUACCCCCCAGUUAUUUGCAACAUGACCAAUUCUCAUGGAUGAGGGAGGCAAAGGCCCUUCAGGGCAAGACGUGGUGAGAACUUAUCAAACCUACUGUCCUCAGAGAGCACAGUACAGGGAUUUUCCUCGUGAGGGCCCCCGGGUCCCUCACCGCGAAAGCAGCGAGGAAGGAGCGAGAGGUGGCUACACGGCGACGACGCAGAAAGACGCGGCGGGAAGGAAGAAAAAACAGAAAACCAAAGGGGGAAAAAAUGGAGCCUACUGAGGAGACGCAGGGGCGGCUUCAGCUCCAGCGGCGGCGACGGCGACAGCACUGGCGGGGGGCUGCGCAGCACCAUGGGGCCUAGAAGGGCCUAGAAGAGGCGCGGGGCGGCGCUCCCCGGGUCGGGAGAAGCGCAGGGCGCGGAGGAGCCGCGGCGUGUUGGCGUGCUCCUGCCCGGCGCGGGGACGGGAGAGUGGGCCUGGAUCCCCUCGAUAGGGGCCCGCAGGACGCGCGACAGGCCCUCGGCGGAGCGGGCCUCCCCACGACGCGCUCGCACGAUGUCGCAGGAACCCAGGAAGUCGACGCGACUGUCGGCAUCGCUGGUUUCGGAGUCGCUGAAGAAGUGCCGGAAGUCGCCGCCGCCGUGCUUCCUCAGGCCGUCGGCGGGCGGCCCCGCGGGCUCCCUGUUCCCGAGGACACCAGCUGGUCUUGGACGGCGCGGCACGUGCAGUGGCCGCCAGCUGGAUCUCCUCCAUCUCUCGAGUCGUGGCCUCCAGGAUGGCGGCAAGCUUCUUUCCCUGGUCACGGCGAAGCUGGGCCCGGAUCCUCUCACGCCGCCCCUUCUUUCGCGCCUUCUUUGUGCCCUUGAGAGGCGGGGCGGCUGGGCCUCGAGAUCCAUCUUGGCAAGAUCUUCAGUGACAGAAUCGAGGUUGCUGUCAUCAGGAAAAUUCUUUUGGAGCUUCUCUAGUUCCUGCUGGUGCCUGGGCUCCGUUGUGGCCUCAAGACUGGCCACGUCGAGGAGCAGCUGCUUCCUUCCUUUCCGGUUGCUCCUGGGUCGGGCCUACAGCUCUUUCUUCUUGAGGUGGUGGCGUCGUACCAUCCGCUGGUGCUCCUUCUGCCGAUCUUUCCUGAUAUUUAACGGCAGGCCAGAAUGGAAGUUUGGCGGCAGCUAAAGUACCGGCUGCUGUUCAGACUAACGGCGCAAACCGCGAUCAGGCCACGGGUCCUCAGCCUCCCCUGGCCGCUGCAGUCUGUAAAGCGUGACUUUUGCAAUGGGACAGGAUCCUUCAGGAGGUCCUGAGCCACUGGAAUACUCAGAGCCUGGGGACCUGUGUGACAGGAUGGAGGAGGGAUUUCUACGUUGAGCCGGAGGGUGGACGGUUUCUUUCUAGGGCCCUUAUGUCUCUGAGGGCGUGUGGCUACUGGGACCACCUUAGACUCUGCCCCAGGGGGGCUGUUAUUGGCCAUCUAGGGCUCCUCGGGUGUCACCUUUGGGGCUGAUGUCUGCUUCAUGUCAGGUCUACCCCCAGCACUUUGCCACAGACCUGAUCCGCGUUACUCCCAGAAAGGGCCCAACUUCAGCUCAGAGAAUUCCUACAGUCUGGCCCCUUCAGAUCACCCCCUUUCUCUUUGCCCCACUUGCUUGGCUCCCAGUCUUGGUUCCCCCUUCCCAUUUUGCCCCUUUUGGAUUUGCUGACCCUAGCAUGGGCCCACACAUCCACAGGACCCUGCUUCUGCUACAGGACUCUCAGCCGCCGGCCCUGCAGCCCUGGGCACAAGACACUGCGCUUCCUCUCCUAGUCAGAUGUCUAAGACUUCACUGCCCAUCCCUGUCCUGGAGGACUCAGACUCUCUUGGACAGAAAUCUACGUCCCCGUGAAAUGCUGCCGUGUCUUUCUGAAAGACAAGGUGGGAGAGUUCUCCAUCCCAAUGAUGCAAAGUCGGUUUCCUAAGAACAUCUGUUGCAACUGGACCAUCUGGACCAGCCCCUAAAACCACAUUACUGUCUGUGUCAGUGGGUUUAGGGUCGUGGGAAACGAUGAGUGUGGGGCAAAAUUGUGUUUUAGGGGCUGUCCUCUGUGGUAGAAAGCAGCAUGGUCUAUGCCUGUUGGAAGAAGAGGGUGCACAUUCAUGCCACCCAAGCUCUCGCUGUGCAAGUGGUCUUGCUAUCUAAGAAUUAUGCUGGAGGCAGGAGAUAUAGGCAUUUCAGGCGGAAGUAUUAUAUCUCCCAAGACCCCAGAGCAGAUUCAGGGGAAAAGAUCAUGAAUCUUCAGGUUACAAGAAUCCCAUCCCAUGUCAAAGAACUUCCUCCAAACCCACUGUUAGCACCACUGGGCCAAAGACCCAAGCUGAGAAGAAGCUUGGAGUCUCCAGAAUUUCUGUGCUCCAUUUGAUUAAGCUAAGCUCUCUCAUGUUAUUUAUUAAGCCGGCAUCAGACAACAUCCUGGCUGCCAGAUUGCUAGAAAUAAGUGAGAAAGAUCUUUGGAAAACAGCCUCUGCCCCAGCCCAAGUAGAAAUAGCAGUCUUUGAUACCAGGUGGCCAGAAAUCCCAGAAAAAAGAAUCCUUUCCUGGCCCUCAGGCAACAGAUAAGCCCUUUCCAACCUCUGUGGUGGCCUCUGAACAAGCAGUUUGGAAGCAGUUUAGUCUUCUCUUGUAGAGUAAGGAAGGCUGGAGAGCUCUUCAGAGGAUGGGCCAGCCACAAGACCAACCCCUGUGGACUUGUGGGGAUCAGUUAACCACUCGUAUUUGGGAUUAUGGGAAAAGGCUACACUCUGGGAGAAGCAGCAUUUUCUCUCAGCCCUUCUCAGGUGGUGGAGAGCAUUCCUAGAGGAAACAAGCAAUUACCUGAACAAACAAGUCUUACCUGGUGAAACCUCAUUCCUAUGGGACAAGUCUGGGGCAGGCUUGGCCACUGAGGUCCAACUGUCCCUGGAAGGCAGGCCAUAUCCUGUCCCUGUCGUCACACAGUUUUCUCAUAUCUCUAGGUUCUUUCUUCCUGUGUUCCAAGCUGAGAGCUCUCUGGCUGACUUGCUUUGGGGAAUUUUGCUGCUCCUGCAGAUACCCUAACUUCUGCCAUCAAGGGGUUGCUCGGCUAAGUUGUGGGCUCAUCUCCAGUGAGUCAAGAGUCAUCUUGGUGGCUCAAUCUCUGGGUGGUGAGGUGUUGUCACCACCAACUGUCUCCCAUGGGCUUCAAGUGACUUCCUCUAGUGUGGAGUCAUAUCUUGUCCCUUGGACAGCCUUGUCCUUACCCCUUCCAGAGCCGGCACAGACAGACAGCCUGUCCCAGAGUGUGACCUCUGAGGGUGUCUCUUUGUGGUACCAUGAGGAUCUUGCAAAAAGAGACCUGUCACACUUCUUGGAGUCCAGAGGGGCUGGCCACAGAACCACUGGAGAGCCUGGCCAGAGUGACACUGACAACAGCCCCUUACCAAGCUCUUCUAGCCAUAACUGCCCCUGAGUAUGUUCCCCAACCCGCGUUGGUAUUUCCACCCUCAUCCUACCACAGAGGUUCUGGGACACCAGAGGGGACCAUGGGGAUGUCUACACUAAUUCAUAGCUGGUAUCAGGUUUACAGCUGUCUUUGGAUGCCCUGUCUGAGAUUGGAGGGGAGAUGGACCCCUCCCUCAGUCCCUAAGUCCAGCCAUGCCCCGGGGCUUGUCCAGUCAAAGAGCAGAGUGACUGCUGAGCUCCAUGCGAGCUGCAAUCCAAGCUUUCUGCAGACUAAUGUGGAGUGCCUUCUGCAGAGCUCACUGGCUUUUCUGGCUCACUCUCCAAGCCUGGCUGUAGAAGAGCUAGCAUCUAGAAGUUUUGUGAGUACUUUCUGGCCUGAGCCCAAGGACACAGCUCCUAGUGGGGUGAUAGCUUGUCCCUACUACUUAAGCUAGACUGGGAACUUGCUUCCAGCUACCUCCUGCAGCAGACAGCACACAGAAGUAACAGGCCUCCUUGAAGGAAGAAGACUGAUGUGCUCUGCAUCCUUUUGCUACAGAGUUAGUUCCCAGCUUCUGGUAUUCACACUCUCUGGGUUCCUUCCCUACAAAUGGAGCCCCCUCAGGGCCAAAGGCACAUGCUACUGUGGCUGCUUCAUUGGUUUCAGAGCUGCAAAGCACCUGGGCGGUUCCUCCAUUGAGGAACAUGCUGAAAUGGCUAUCCAGCCCUCUAAAGGGCUCACUUUAUAGGAAGCUAAGCCCUGGCAACCCACCCAUCCCCUGGCACAGGUGUGGAGACCCCUCACCUAAGAUGUGCCAGUGUCCCUUUCUAGCUUUCUGGGGACCUCCUAUUGGAAAUGGACCCAGGCUGUAGGUGUUCCUACUGUUAUAUCCCCUUUGUCCCCCUGGGAAGAGGGUGCAUCCUCUCUGGAGACUCAGAUACCCUGGAACUACUCUGAUAAGUACCUGUUUUCCAUAUACAUAAAUAAAGCUUAGCAUUUUAUUCAUGUCCUUCUCUGUACCUCAGACCAUCUUUCUCUAAAUGAACUUUAGAAAUUUCUUUAGAGCUUAUUGAAGGUAAACUCAUUUUUUUAGUUUUUUUUUAUUUUUCCUCUUUCUCCCCAAAGCCCCCCAGUACAUAUUUGUGUAUUUUUGGUUGUGGGUCCUUCUAGUUGUGGCAUGCAGGAUGCUGCCUCAGCAUGGCUUGACGAGUGGUGCCAUGUCUACACCCAGGAUCCGAACUGGUGAAACCUUGGGCUGCCAAAGUGGAGUGCACGAACUUAACCACUCGGCCACGGGGCCGGCCCCAAAGAAAUGAAAAUAAACCUUUGCUCAUGGGAGAGGGAGUGAAUGCCAGUCGAGACUCCACUACAUAAAGACAUUGCUGCUCACAGAUGCUCUGCUGAUCCCUCAAGAAUCUUGAAAUUGGUGAUAGGGUCUCCAUUUUACAGAUCUUAUGAAGCAAGGACUACUAUUCACCCCAAAAUGAUGAAGGCAGGCUGACUGGAAUGGAGAAGUACAUGUUCUGGAGGUUUGCUAUGGACUUCUGUCUAGGCACUCUGUGGGCCAGGCUCUAUGUUUAUGCCCUGGAAGCUUGCAGUCUAACUUCUAUCCAAGAACCGAAAGAGGUCAUUGGUAGCGAGGAGGACUCCCUGUUCCACCACUACCACCGCCGCCACCACCACCACCAAAGAAGAUUGCUGCUGGCUCUUCAGGGAAGCUAAAUUAGGAGAACAGUUUCUGCAGAGAUGGGAAAAGUGUGUGUGUGUGUGAGAGAGAUUUAAGCCAGAGAAGCUAAACACAUUCAAACAAUAAAAUAGAUGGAGAAGAAGAGCAAGAUUGGCAUGCAAAGGGUCUGGAAUAGCUGUGAGAUGGUUUGGGGCCCAGACAAGGAGAAUUUAGAAAGUGUUGGAUCCUCUUUGAUGUAUCUUUAUAAAUAUCGAAGAUUGAAAUUCCUUUUCAUGAUGCCAUUAUGUUUUACUGGAUUGUGUGUUGGACUUCCUGCCAAGACCAAGCCUCAUGGGGCCUUGGGAUUUAUUGGGAUUACGCAAAAAUGUUGUUUUUCCUAUCCUGGGUCCCCUCUGGAAAGCUGAGCC
rnacentral:lncRNA from 1 species